rnacentral:rRNA from 1 species
UACGUAGGGGGCAAGCGUUGUCCGGAUUUAUUGGGCGUAAAGAGCGUGUAGGCGCCUGGUAGGUCAGUUGUGAAAACUCGAGGCUCAACCUCGAGACGCCGAUUGAAACCACCAGGCUAGAGUCCGGAAGAGGAGAGUGGAAUUCCCGGUGUAGCGGUGAAAUGCGCAGAUAUCGGGAAGAACACCCGUGGCUAAGGCGGCUCUCUAGUACGGUACUGACGCUGAGACGGCGAAAAGCGUGGGGAGCGAACAGG